GGGAAAUGCUCAAUAUGAUCUGAAGUGAGAUUGUACGCAUUCCUAUAGAUUGAGGAUGAUAUCUAAAGCAAGGAAGGGAGCUUCAAAGCAAAAGAUUAGUUCUCCACUGCCUGAGAUUAGGGAUCCAGGAGGAGGAGCAUUGGUGUCCCUGGCACUGUGUGCCAAAGCAGUGAAAACAUUCAAAGGAGAGAGUCUCAAAACCAUCAGAACCCAUGAUCAGGCCUGACGAUGGAGAGCUUUGUAAGAUGCAAGAACAAGACAGUAGGGAGUGCUGGAAGUGACUGACCAUGAAGGAUACUUGUUCUAUACAGCAUGAU
rnacentral:lncRNA from 1 species